GAACAUUUACCAUGCUCUAAAAUAUCCAUUACAUGCACCUUUUGACAAUUUUAAAACCUGAAAAUUAUAAAGCGUUAACAUAAUUCAAAAUGAUUUAAUAAUUUGGAGUUUUUAUACGCCCGUCUAUGACGUCCGUCUGUUAAUGUCGUACGCUACGUCAAAUAUCCUUUGACAGAUUUUCUUCAAAUUUUAACACAAUCUUAAUAUUGAUAAACCCUGAUCCCCUUUCGUUUUUGACGGAAUUCUGAAUUGUCGUUUCAGAGUUAUGGGACUUUGUUCGUCAAAAUUUCGUGAUUUCAUUGAAUGUCCUACUGUAGCUCAAAUAUCCUUCGAUGGAUUUUUUUCAAAUUUCAACACAAUCUUAAUAUUGAUAAACCCUGAUCCCCUUUCGUUUUUGACGGAAUUCUGAAUUGUCGUUCCAGAGUUAUGGGACUUUGUUCGUCAAAAUUUCGUGAUUUCAUUGAAUGUCCUACCGUAGCCGUCCGUCCGUCCGUCCGUCUGUUAAUGUCGUACACUACGUCAAAUAUCCUUUGACAGAUUUUCUUCAAAUUUUAACACAAUCUUAAUAUUGAUAAACCCUGAUCCCCUUUCGUUUUUGACGGAAUUCUGAAUUGUCGUUCCAGAGUUAUGGGACUUUGUUCGUCAAAAUUUCGUUAUUUCAUUGAAUGUCCUACUGUAGCUCAAAUAUCCUUCGAUGGAUUUUUUUUUUUUUUUUUUUAGUAUCCCUGAAAAAUUGAACAAGGUGAGCUUUUUUCUAUUCCGAUUGUACACUACCACUUACCCAUCUACAUUUCUCUUUUAUUAUUGGUCAAAAUAUCUAUAACAGGUUUACUUCAACUCCAUAUCCUCUAAAGAAAUGCAUACAUAUACUCAAAAAAAGAUAUGGUAUGAAUGUCAAGGAGACGGCGCUCCAUGCUCAUGUACUUAUAAAAUAAACCAUGUAUUCAAAUACAAAUAAACUGAAGUAAAAAAAUGAUUCAAAGGGUUAUUUAUUACCUUACUACUUCAUUGGCGAACGACGGGCGUAUCAUGCGCUCAUGGCGCAGCUCCUCAGUUUUUUAUAUCAUUAUACUUUGUGGCAUUAGGAGGAUGGCUUAUAUAAUUUAUAAGUAUAAAAAUUGAUAUUUUAGAACAUUGUUAAUGUUCAUUAUCAUCGUCUUCUCCCAAAAGUCAUAACUUCAAAGAAAAUGUGUGAAUCUGAAAAACAUUUUUUAAUUUUGUCAAUUUAUUUACCAAAGCUCAAAAACGUCCCUUUAAUAUGCAUAUUUGGUAACCUAUUAUUGAAUAUUCUGAUUUCCCUAACAUAACAAUUGCACUAGUUAUUAAAUGUAACUUGUAUCAACCCGUAUUUUAUAUAACCAAAUUUAAAGUUUGGUAAAGCAGCAGUUUGUGUUUACAUUGAUAUUUGUCAAUGCAUACCGUCGUCUGGGGAAUUAAAGUGACAUGCAUAUGCUCAAUGAAACCCUAAUUACGCUCCAGAUUGUUUGAUUUAUUUUAUGCUGUCUUUAUAUUAAACCAGACAUGCUUGCAUGGUUAAGUCAUAGGUUAUUUCUAGGUCCUGCUGUUUAAUAAUUACACAACUAUUGCUUAAUUGGUCAUCGUCAGCUUGGUACUGUUUUAAAGUACCUUGGGUACUCCUAAGUAUAGUACAAUUUACAGUGGGUAUGGAAAAUAUAAUAAAACGUACCCAGGGAUACUAAUGCUAAAUUGGUCUUGUCUGCUCAUUUUUUAAAUGAAUUAUGUUCACAUUUAUGUCAAUUUUCUGUAAAAUGGCAUCUAUGCUAUCGAAACUCGUAUUUAAAAAAGCAUGUUGAGGCAUGUUUUAUUUAAAGAGAAUUCUGUUUAGUAAGUCAGUAGGGUGUUUUACAACGUAGAAUUUUGGGCGGGAAUAAAGCAUAUUUUCUGUACCCGGGGUACAUUGUACAGGCUGUCAACUGGUCCUACUUUUUUUAAUUUUCAAUAUUUUUUUCUACUUUUUCUUUAAAAACUCCUAUUAUUCAUAUUUGAUUCAUGUUGGUAGAUGUAAUUUUUAUGUGACUGCAAUCCCUUAUAAUUGUUUUUAAGUGUUUUAGUAUAUUUGAAGCUUGAUUUUGUGCCAUUUCUACACUAUACAUGUAUAAUACUGAGCUUGAUGGGACCUGUAGCUGAGAAUGUGUGCCAUCAGUCCUCUCCACAUCAUUCUGUUGAAAGGUUGAUGCCACACAUCCAGUUCACAAGUCCCCAAUCUGCGCAGUCGCCUGUAACCAGAAGUUGUUGGUAAAAUUGAAUUGCAAUGCAAUGGUGUGUUUUAAGAUGAUGUUCAUCUAGAAAAAAAUAUGGCUGUCAAAGAAUAUUUUAAGAAGCCGUCACGAGGGGACAUUAUCAUGAUCACAUUAGACAGCUUAAGGGUGCAACUUACUUCCGAAUCAUGUUAAAGGAUCUUGAUGAAAAUUGACUGACCAAGACCUACAGCUGUGAUGAGCUUUUGGCAGGAUUAUGACCCCUUUUGUCUACAAAAGUUUGGAAAUGCGAUGGUACUGAUGCUUUUAACACGGACAUAGGGAUUUCUUUAAAACGUUGAACGAAGUCGUGUCAGUCAGCUCCAGCCCUCUGAUGUAAACUCGAUGCCCUCGAUGUUAACUCGUGUCUUUAAGGCUGUGAGCAUCUGAUUGCUGCACCUUUCAACUUCCGAGGCUUGCCAUGUACCAGCAACUUAGAUGUCUACAAAAUACUACUGCUGAAUGAUGGGACUAUUCAAUAGUAUUGGUGAAUAUGGAAUCGACGCGUCUUUGUACUGAGUGUGGCCGACAGUUUCAGUCCAGGAGUGGCCACAGCCGCCAUAUGAGACAGCACAAAGGACAAGCCCCAUACCGAUGUUGCGGGAAGAUGUUUUUUGACAAGGAUAAACUAAAAAUGCACAGAAAUCAUAUUCACGGAGAGGCGGCUCGCGAGGCAUGUUUCCAGUGUGGGAAAUUCUUUGCGACCCGACAACAGGUAACAAAACACAUGGCUGUUGUGCACAACGCAAAUUCCGAAAACUUUACUUGCGACACGUGUGGUGCGAAUUACACGUCGAAGCAGGGUCUCCAGGAUCACACUGCUAGUCAGCACGAGGGUCGUGCAGCGCAUGCCUGCCAUUGCGGUAAAGAAUACCGACACGCCACAAACCUUUACAGGCAUAAAAAAUCAACAAAACACUAAACAUAUAAUGUGUCUAGACAGUACAAGCUAUGUUUCUUCAUUUUAUGUUAAUUAAUGUAAACUGCCUCUACAUUAAUCGAUAUCAUACAUAUUGUUUAAUGUUAUUGAAAACCGUGAUUUAUAGUUGAUCUCGUAUAUAUUGAUUUAUGUGAUUUAAAGCUGUGAUUUAAAGUUAAUCUCAUUUAUAUAUUGAUUUAUGUGAUUUGAAACUGUGAUUUACUGUUAUAUUGUGCAAUUGACAACCAAUAAUACUCAAAUAUUGUUUGGGGUCGUAUUACAAAAACAUUUACAAUAAUAUGUCGGAUGUUUAAAAAACUUAUUGUCAGUUUGUUAUUGAGAAUUAUAUUAUGUUACAUGUUUCUGAAAUACUACCCGUUUUAUAUCAUGUUAUUUGAAAUAUAUGAUAAUAUGUUGUGAUUAAAGAAACGAAUUGAAAUAAUAAA